ACGGGGAAUCAGGGUUCGAUUCCGGAGAGGGAGCCUGAGAAAUAGCUACCACAUCCAAGGAAGGCAGCAGGCGCGCAAAUAGGCCACUCCCGAAACGGGGAGGUAGUGACGAUAAAUAACGAUGCGGGACUCAAUCGAGGCCCCGUAAUUGGAAUGAGUACACUUUAAAUCCUUUAACGAGGAUCAAUUGGAGGGCAAGUCUGGUGCCAGCAGCCGCGGUAAUUCCAGCUCCAAUAGCGUAUAUUAAAGUUGUUGCAGUUAAAAAGCUCGUAGUUGGAUCUCAGGAUUUGGAUGGAUGGUUCGCUUUCGGGCGCUACUAUCUGUCUGACCUACUCUAGUCGUGGAUGCCUUGGGUGCUCUUAAUUGAGUGCUUUUGGUGCCCGACGCAAUUACUUUGAAAAAAUUAGAGUGCUCAAAGCAGGCGUAUUGCCUGAAUAGUGUUGCAUGGAAUAAUGAAAUAGGAGUUUACUUCUAUUUUGUUGGUUUUCGGAGGUGAACUAAUGAUUAACAGGGACAGACGGGGGCAUUUGUAUGGAGGGGUUAGAGGUGAAAUUCUUGGAUCCUCUCCAGACAAACUACUGCGAAAGCAUUUGCCAGGAAUGUUUUCACUAAUCAAGAACGAAAGUCAGAGGUUCGAAGACGAUCAGAUACCGUCCUAGUUCUGACCAUAAAUGAUGCCAACUAACAAUCCACGAAGUUUGCUUGUACGAACUCGUGGGCGGUCCCCGGGAAACCAAAGAUUUUGGGUUCCGGGGGAAGUAUGGUUGCAAAGCUGAAACUUAAAGGAAUUGACGGAAGGGCACCACCAGGAGUGGAGCCUGCGGCUUAAUUUGACCCAACACGGGAAACCUCACCCGGCCCGGACACUUUUAGGAUUGACAGAUUGAAGGCUCUUUCUUGAUCAAGUGGUUGGUGGUGCAUGGCCGUUCUUAGUUGGUGGAGCGAUUUGUCUGGUUAAUUCCGAUAACGAACGAGACUCUACUCUGCUAAAUAGAACGUUGAUAUAUAAAAGUCAGUGCUGACUUCUUAGAGAGACUAACGGCGUUUAGCCGUGUGAGAAAGAGCAAUAACAGGUCUGUGAUGCCCUUAGAUGUCCGGGGCCGCACGCGCGCUACACUGACUGCAGCAACUAGUAUGCUCCUGGUUUGAAAAAACUGGGUAACCUGGUUGAAUUGCAGGCGUGACAGGGAUCAGAGUUUGCAAUUAUCCUCUGUGAACGAGGAAUUCCCAGUAAGCGCAAGUCAUUAGCUUGUGCUGAUUACGUCCCUGCCCUUUGUACACACCGCCCGUCGCUACUACCGAUUGAAUGGUUUAGUGAGGUCUUCGGAUUGGUGCUGAUGGAGUGGUUCUCUGCUCUGUUAGUGCCGAGAAGAUGAUCAAACUUGAUCAUUUAGAGGAAGUAAAAGUCGUAACAAGGUU
rnacentral:rRNA from 1 species